ensembl:snRNA U6 U6 spliceosomal RNA
GUGCUUACUUUGGCAGCAUAUAUACUAAAAUAGGAAUGAUACAGAGAAGAUUAGCAUGGCCCCAGGGCAAGGAUGACAGCAAAUUGGUGAAAGGUUCUAUACAUAUAU